rnacentral:rRNA from 1 species
AACGAACGCUGGCGGCAGGCUUAACACAUGCAAGUCGAGCGCCCCGCAAGGGGAGCGGCAGACGGGUGAGUAACGCGUGGGAAUCUACCCAUCCCUACGGAACAACUCCGGGAAACUGGAGCUAAUACCGUAUACGCCCUUUGGGGGAAAGAUUUAUCGGGGAUGGAUGAGCCCGCGUUGGAUUAGCUAGUUGGUGGGGUAAAGGCCUACCAAGGCGACGAUCCAUAGCUGGUCUGAGAGGAUGAUCAGCCACAUUGGGACUGAGACACGGCCCAAACUCCUACGGGAGGCAGCAGUGGGGAAUAUUGGACAAUGGGCGCAAGCCUGAUCCAGCCAUGCCGCGUGAGUGAUGAAGGCCUUAGGGUUGUAAAGCUCUUUCACCGGAGAAGAUAAUGACGGUAUCCGGAGAAGAAGCCCCGGCUAACUUCGUGCCAGCAGCCGCAGUAA